rnacentral:rRNA from 1 species
UCGAGCGGUAACAGAAAGUAGCUUGCUACUUUGCUGACGAGCGGCGGACGGGUGAGUAAUGCUUGGGAACAUGCCUUGAGGUGGGGGACAACAGUUGGAAACGACUGCUAAUACCGCAUAAUGUCUACGGACCAAAGGGGGCUUCGGCUCUCGCCUUUAGAUUGGCCCAAGUGGGAUUAGCUAGUUGGUGAGGUAAUGGCUCACCAAGGCAACGAUCCCUAGCUGGUUUGAGAGGAUGAUCAGCCACACUGGAACUGAGACACGGUCCAGACUCCUACGGGAGGCAGCAGUGGGGAAUAUUGCACAAUGGGCGAAAGCCUGAUGCAGCCAUGCCGCGUGUGUGAAGAAGGCCUUCGGGUUGUAAAGCACUUUCAGUCAGGAGGAAAGGGUGUGAGUUAAUACCUCACAUCUGUGACGUUACUGACAGAAGAAGCACCGGCUAACUCCGUGCCAGCAGCCGCGGUAAUACGGAGGGUGCGAGCGUUAAUCGGAAUUACUGGGCGUAAAGCGUACGCAGGCGGUUUGUUAAGCGAGAUGUGAAAGCCCCGGGCUCAACCUGGGAACUGCAUUUCGAACUGGCAAACUAGAGUGUGAUAGAGGGUGGUAGAAUUUCAGGUGUAGCGGUGAAAUGCGUAGAGAUCUGAAGGAAUACCGAUGGCGAAGGCAGCCACCUGGGUCAACACUGACGCUCAUGUACGAAAGCGUGGGGAGCAAACGGGAUUAGAUACCCCGGUAGUCCACGCCGUAAACGAUGUCUACUAGAAGCUCGGAACCUCGGUUCUG